rnacentral:lncRNA from 1 species
AUUUUGUGUGUUUCUCAGCACCUAGCAACAGGUAGUAAGCUCCUUGGGUGCCGAAUCAGUAUUUUCUGCCUUGGAAUCAAAUGUCAGAAGUCAACACUCAAACGUCUUUUGACCAAAAAGAUUCUACGACAAUUAUCCAGAAGUUACAAUGCAAGGAAGAAGAAUUGGAUGUUAAGUCUUGCGUAGCAGGGGUUAUGGGGAGUGGAUCAAGACAAAGUAGAGGUAUCUGCUCCCCUCAUCCUUGUAAGCUCCAUGCCAUUUAUCCAUGCUCACAUUGAUCAUCUCAUACGAGCUUCACAUUUCCCCUCAAGAAAUGGAGCGUUACCCCAUUACCUACUCAUAGAGGAGGAACUGGAAGCCAGAGAGGGAGAUGCCUUAUUGACACAGAGCACAAGUGGCAGGAGCUGGCUUCAGACCUCAGUCCAUCCGGUGUGGCAGUCCCUCUUCCCAGGACCAGGUGGAGCUGGAGAGAAGGAGGAAGAGGAGUCUGUGAGGUCCAAAUGGAGAUGCUCGGCAGGCCCUUUCCAAAGGUGGGAGAUGUGGUGGUGUACACACUGGAGGUGCUGCUCCUGAGCUCAGGGCGCCUUACGGGACUCUCCUCAUGUCGCG